AAUCCAUGAUGUGGACAUGAUUUGAGUAUACUUUUGAAUCUAUCUCACACUUUAUAAAGACAUUAUAUACCAAUCUCUUUGAAGUUAGUAAUUUGAUUUCUCAUGUGU